CUCUUACAUGUCCCCUUGGCAGGGAUCACUAGAAGUCUGGCUCAGCUGGGGCUAUUCACCAUGGUGGCUACAUAAUGGCUUCUCCAGUAUGGUGAUUUCAGGUUAGUUGAAUUUUUACAUUAUAGCUCAAGACUAGCAAACAUAGUGUUUGAAGAAGCUUGAGUGGAAGCUUCAAGACUUAUGACCAAGAUUAGAAGUCCUGGAAUGUCACUUCUACCAUUUUCUACUGCUCAAGAAAGUCACUAAGACCAGCCCAAAUCCAAGGAGAGAGGAAUUAGAUUUCAACUCUCAACAGGAGAAGUACCAUACUAAAGACUAUAUGACCAUCUUUGAAAUAACGCCUUUCAGGAGCACAAGAGUUGAUGAAAGAAAACACUCUCAAAGUCAAGUUUGCUGUAGCCUGUAUACCUGAAAACGGUGGGCUUGAGAGGCCGGGAAGAGAAAGAAAGAAGAGGGAUAGUAACAACCUAAACAGCAAAGACUUGGAACUUGAAAUUAAAAAGAUAUACACCUAUCUAUGUAUUUCUGAUAUGUUUGUCAUAAUUUCAACCAAAGUUCAUGAUCUAUAGAAUUUUGCAUAAAUAAAAAAUAUCAUUUGGUUAGU
rnacentral:lncRNA from 1 species